UCCUUCUGCCCAAAUACCCUAGAGGCACCUGAUCCUGUCUGAUCUUGGAUGCUAAGCAGGAUAAGCCCUGGUUAGUACUUGAAUGAAAAACAGGUGCUGUAGACU
rnacentral:rRNA from 1 species